rnacentral:lncRNA from 1 species
GGGUGAGAGACCUAGAAUCUAUUCUAGAAUUUUAGAAAGAAAGAAAAGAGAGAAGAGAGUUCUCAUCAUUGUCUUCUUCCAUCACCACAUCCUCCUCCAUCUUCCAUCUUUAGAACCCAAAGAGUCUGAGAGAUCUGAAAAGAGGAGUAGAUCAGCCAUUCAGAAGAUCUUCAUGCAAGCUAGCAUUCUCGGAGAGAUUGAUCAGUGCAGGGCUUUGAGUGAA